GUGAAACCAGCUCGAACGGUUCUUGGUUUUAAGUACACGUACUCAACGUGUAUCUACGUAUGUACAUACAUAUAUUGGUUGUACGUAUGUGCGGCUUAGUUCCAUCGCUACGAAUUUGCCUAUCUUUUGGAUCCUUUUUAUUGACUUUUCGGCAGAAUAAAGUUAAUAACACGGAAAUUACGUGGUUCUACUUACAUAUUUUAUGAAAACGGCGCAAAAAUUUUGUGCAUGCGAGAUUUCAUCAAUGUAAUAGUACGUUUUCUUAAUUUUGUGUGUAAAAAAUAUACCUUCAAUUAAAAAAAUAUGUGUACAUAAAAAGCAGUGAAUAGACGAAGAAGAGUAACACAAAAAAAAAUUAUCAAGUCAAAAAGGUUUGUGUAUACACAUGCAGUGAAUGCGACAGCGGUUUGUAUGUACGUGUGCACAAGUGAGAAGGGAGAUAUAAUUCGGGCCAACUGGCUCAUGGUGCAACAGCAAAAAAGAAAGAAGCCAUCAGAAAAGCUUUUGUAAAAACAGUAGUAGAAGUACCGAAGAAAUGGCGACAAAACGUAACACAUAGUGAAUAUUUUCGCUGAGUAAAUUUAA